AGUGAAAUAGCUGAGUCAAAUGGUUGUUCCAUUCCACGUUUUCCAAGGAAUCUCCAUAAUGCUUUCCAGAUUGGUUACACCAAUUUGCAGUCCCACUAGCAAA
rnacentral:pre_miRNA from 1 species